UGCUGAUAAUAGCAAACCUGUUGAAAAACAGGGACGCAAAACUACGAGUCUAAGUGCUUAUGCAUAUUGAUAGUCGGGUUGCCGGU
rnacentral:ncRNA from 1 species